rnacentral:lncRNA from 1 species
CUGUGUCCAGCACUGCCCUCUGCACUUCACAUCUGCUGAGUUGGUCUCCUUCUCCAGCAUCCAUGCAGCCAGAAUACCUGGUUCUCCAACCUCAAUACUGCUUCUCCUUAGCCUUCUCUGCUGGAUGCACUUCUGUUUCUCCAAAAUGUAAACGUGUCUAGGAUGGGGUCGCAGUCUGUCUUGCUCACCUGUGUGUACAAGUGUGCAUCUGGAUGUAGGAGGGGCUGGGUGAAGAUGCUGUGAUCAGCUGACCAGCUGCAGGACCGACUUAUUGACUCACAUCAUCUUCACCGCAACUUCACGAGGAUCCAGGGUUCUGCAACAUCCUUAAGGAUUACGGAAGUUUCACAGUACCUGGAUGGAGCAAAAAACGUCAAAGUGAAGAGUCUGGGCCCUCUCUGGAUCUGUUAAAAUGGCCCAGUUCCUAAUGAGACACAAGGGCUCUGGAUUCUUAUACAUAGAAGACUGCUCAGCAGGCGCCGGAGAGCCGCCAAGUCCGUGACAACCUGUAGGCCCAUCACAGCUGACGACAUCCAGACAGGCUCUCCCUGGCAGACUCAUCUCUCGCCUUUCCACGGCAACUUCUAUUUUGACCACGCACUCACAUGGAUCCUUCUCUUAUUCCCUCCUACAGUUUCCAGCCAGACUGGCCCAUGCCGGGAGGCGGCUCUGCGAAAGUAAAGAAAACAAAAGACAUCCAAUAGCCAGUGUGGCUUUAACCUGAAGAACAGCUGCAUGUUCAUUGACUGCUUAGUGUGUGCUAAAUGUUUCACACGCACUUGCUCGAUUCAUCUUGACAAGAGCCCUGUGACGUGGGUGCAUUAGUCCUUUUUUCUGGGGGGGGGGGAGGAGGAAGCUGAAGCACAGAGAGGCUAAGUAACUUGCCCCAGGUCACACAGCCAGCGAAUAGCAAGCCAGGAUUGGCACACAGGUCUCUAAUUUUAAGCACUGCACACUUAAUCCCUAAACUAUAUGCUCUUUAAUUAGGGGAGGGGUUAGGAUUAGUCCAGAGCCAGGCUGCUGCAAGGGAGAGGCCUCCCACUCCCCCCACUUAGGGGCUAUUGUGAGGUGGAGCUCCAGCUGUCUCUAGGGAACAAACACGGCUGAGAAGGAGAAAGGGGAGGAGUGUCUUUGUCGGAAGACACUAAAGCACUAAAGAGAGGAAGCAGUGGGAAGAAUAGCAGUCGGGAGAGCUCACCAAGCGCCAGGCACAGCACUGGGCCCCUUGCAUCCUGUACCCUGGCACUCCUCAAACCUCAUAACUCG